AUCUAUUAUCAAGGAAGUCUUAACAAUGAGGUUUAACCGAGGUGCAAUUAUUGCUUAUUGAAAACUUUUCCCAAUACCCUGCUAUGACGACUUGAAAUAUAGUCGGCAAUGGCAAUUUUUGAUAGUCUCUGCGGAAA